CUUUGCCCCCGGCCGUGCUGCCAAUCUGUCCUUGACCACCUCAGCGGGGAACCAUUCCAAGAAUACCUAAACAGCAUGUACUUCGACAGGUUUCUGCAGUGGAAGUGGUUGGAAAGGCAACCAGUAACGAAAAACACAUUUAGGCAGUACAGGGUACUGGGGAAAGGUGGCUUUGGGGAGGUCUGCGCUUGCCAAGUCCGAGCAACAGGGAAGAUGUAUGCCUGCAAAAGAUUAGAGAAGAAGAGAAUAAAAAAGAGGAAAGGCGAAUCCAUGGCACUAAAUGAAAAGCAGAUUUUAGAAAAAGUCAAUAGUCAGUUUGUAGUCAAUUUAGCCUAUGCCUACGAAACAAAGGAUGCACUGUGUUUAGUUCUGACCAUAAUGAAUGGGGGUGACUUGAAGUUUCAUAUCUACAAUAUGGGAAACCCAGGCUUUGAGGAAGAACGAGCUUUGUUUUAUGCGGCAGAGAUUCUUUGUGGCUUAGAAGACCUACACAGAGAAAAUACUGUAUACAGAGAUUUGAAGCCAGAAAAUAUCCUACUAGAUGAUUAUGGUCAUAUUAGAAUAUCUGAUUUGGGUCUAGCUGUUAAAAUUCCUGAGGGUGAAUCAAUCCGUGGAAGGGUAGGAACAGUAGGGUAUAUGGCCCCAGAAGUGUUGAACAACCAGAGAUACACGCUCAGCCCUGACUACUGGGGGCUAGGCUGUCUCAUUUAUGAAAUGAUUGCUGGGCAAUCACCAUUUCGUGGAAGGAAAGAGAAAGUGAAGAGGGAAGAAGUGGACAGGAGAGUGCUGGAGACGGAAGAAGUGUACUCCCAUAAGUUUUCUGAGGAGGCCAAGUCCAUCUGUAAAAUGCUCCUCACCAAAGAUUUGAAGCAGCGACUGGGAUGUCAAGGGGAAGGUGCAGCAGAAGUGAAGAGACACCCCUUUUUCAAGAGCAUGAAUUUCAAGCGGUUAGAAGCAGGAAUGCUGGAUCCUCCCUUUGUCCCUGAUCCCAGAGCAGUAUAUUGCAAGGAUGUGUUAGACAUCGAGCAGUUCUCCACAGUGAAAGGAGUAAACCUGGACCAAACAGAUGAUGAUUUCUAUUCCAAGUUUUCCACAGGAUCAGUCUCUAUUCCAUGGCAAAAUGAGAUGAUAGAAACAGAGUGUUUCAAAGAACUAAAUGUGUUUGGACCAAAUGGUACUAUUUCACCAGACCUAAAUAAAAGCUACCCCCCAGAGCCACCCAAGAAAGGAUUGCUACAGAGAAUAUUUAAACGACAGCAUCAGAACAAUUCAAAGAGUUCUCCAAAUUCAAAGGCCAGUUUAAAUCACCACAUAAAUUCAAAUCAUGUAAGUUCAAACUCCACUGGAAGCAGCUAG
rnacentral:lncRNA from 1 species